UUGGUUAAUAACAGAGUUAAAGGGAAUGGGUGUCGGAGGCAGAGGUUCUGAAGUUCACGACUCCUAGAAGGGGAGGGGAAUGAAAGGCUCCCAGUGAAGAAGGACUUCUCAGAGCCUUUCUAUCCUGAUGACAACGUGACUCUUUCCAGAGAGCAGCAGUGACAGCUCUGGAAUGUCUAGGGAGAGGAAGGGCUUAGUGACCAGAGUGCUGGCAGCACAAGAUCCUAGGUCCAGAACCCUUCAGGUCAACUUAAGUUCAAUAUGUAAAACAGUUAAAUUUGGUUCAAAUGUGGAAGGAUGAGAGUUAUUGCAACCUGGCAACACUCCCUACCCCCAUUCUCACCCUCCCUACAGGGGAGGCUCCAGGGAGUACUUUGAAAACCAUUGGAAAAAUUCUCCUCAUAAAUGACUUGAAAUGCCAUGUCUGUAAUAUGCUAUGUUAAAUUUUUUUACCCAUUCCAAUUAUUUUUCUAUUUUCCUGCCAAUCUCGUACUUUAAAUUAAUUUAGAGGCUAAGAGCUUUGUAAUAUAACAAAGGAAGAAAUUGAAAUGUCUAAUAAAUAAGUAAAAUAACAACAUGUUAUUUUGGGGGGCCUGCAUAUUUAGUGUAUUUCUUUAAAAUAAUGUCUACUAUUGGCAAGAGUUGACUAGAUCACCUUCAACAUAGAGAUUCACUUGGUAAAACUAUAUAUUGAUCAAUAAUUUGAUAAUGUGUGUCACAAGUUUACAAGGUUGAUAUUCUUUGAUCCAUCAAAUCACUUAUAGGAUUUAAGACUAAAUAAAUAACCGGAACUGUAUGGGAAAUUUUUCUAUUGUUUCUAUUAUUGAUAAUAUUGAAAAUGAUCCAAAUGUUUAAC